ACGCACGCUGGCGGCGUGCUUAACACAUGCAAGUCGAACGGAAAGGCCCUGCUUUUGUGGGGUGCUCGAGUGGCGAACGGGUGAGUAACACGUGAGUAACCUGCCCUUGACUUUGGGAUAACUUCAGGAAACUGGGGCUAAUACCGGAUAGGAGCUCCUGCUGCAUGGUGGGGGUUGGAAAGUUUCGGCGGUUGGGGAUGGACUCGCGGCUUAUCAGCUUGUUGGUGGGGUAGUGGCUUACCAAGGCUUUGACGGGUAGCCGGCCUGAGAGGGUGACCGGCCACAUUGGGACUGAGGUACGGCCCAGACUCCGACGGGAGGCAGCAGUGGGGAAUAUUGCACAAUGGGCGGAAGCCUGAUGCAGCAACGCCGCGUGCGGGAUGACGGCCUUCGGGUUGUAAACCGCUUUCGCCUGUGACGAAGCGUGAGUGACGGUAAUGGGUAAAGAAGCACCGGCUAACUACGUGC
rnacentral:rRNA from 1 species